UGUUCGUGAAAUCUCACGGCUUAACUGUGAGCGUGCGGGCGAUACGGGCAGACUUGAGUACUGCAGGGGAGACUGGAAUUCCUGGUGUAGCGGUGGAAUGCGCAGAUAUCAGGAGGAACACCGGUGGCGAAGGCGGGUCUCUGGGCAGUAACUGACGCUGAGGAGCGAAAGCGUGGGGAGCGAACAGGAUUAGAUACCCUGGUAGUCCACGCCGUAAACGGUGGGUACUAGGUGUGGGUUUCCUUCCUUGGGAUCCGUGCCGUAGCUAACGCAUUAAGUACCCCGCCUGGGGAGUACGGCCGCAAGGCUAAAACUCAAAGAAAUUGACGGGGGCCCGCACAAGCGGCGGAGCAUGUGGAUUAAUUCGAUGCAACGCGAAGAACCUUACCUGGGUUUGACAUGCACAGGACGCCGGCAGAGAUGUCGGUUCCCUUGUGGCCUGUGUGCAGGUGGUGCAUGGCUGUCGUCAGCUCGUGUCGUGAGAUGUUGGGUUAAGUCCCGCAACGAGCGCAACCCUUGUCUCAUGUUGCCAGCGGGUAAUGCCGGGGACUCGUGAGAGACUGCCGGGGUCAACUCGGAGGAAGGUGGGGAUGACGUCAAGUCAUCAUGCCCCUUAUGUCCAGGGCUUCACACAUGCUACAAUGGCCGGUACAAAGGGCUGCGAUGCCGCGAGGUUAAGCGAAUCCUUUUAAAGCCGGUCUCAGUUCGGAUCGGGGUCUGCAACUCGACCCCGUGAAGUCGG
rnacentral:rRNA from 1 species